rnacentral:tRNA from 1 species
GUCGUCGUAGCCCCGGUCGGCCCGGGGUACGGCCCUGCGGCGGUGGCGCAGGUUGACGCGCAGGCUCUCCCGGUUCCAGCCGACGGCGGCC